ensembl:snoRNA small nucleolar RNA SNORD75
AGUUGGUGAUGAUUAAUGUAUAAGAGUAGUGGACAGAAGUGAUUUCUGACUAACUAUACACUGAUGCU